AGCACCUACAAGCUUCCACUAAACAAAACAGCUUUUGCCUCCCAUAGAAAUGUAGCACCCAUUGAGGAGGCUGCCUCCAUGGUGGAAUGGUUAAAAGGUUGUAAUCACAAUGCUUCAUUGGUUAUUCAAAAAAAAAAAAAAAAA
rnacentral:sRNA from 1 species